GACGAACGCUGGCGGCGUGCUUAACACAUGCAAGUCGAACGGUGAAGCGCUUGCCUUUUUGGUGGGUGUGGAUGAGUGGCGAACGGGUGAGUAACACGUGAGUAACCUGCCCUCUUCUUCUGGAUAACCUCAUGAAAGUGGGGCUAAUACGGGGUAUUCCGGGUCUGUCGCAUGGCGGGUUUGGGAAAGAUUGCGCCUUUGGGUGUGUUCGGUGGGGGAUGGGCUGGCGGCCUAUCAGCUUGUUGGUGGGUGAUGGCCUGCCAAGGCGGUGACGGGUAGCCGGCCUGAGAGGGUGGACGGCCAGACUGGGACUGAGACACGGCGCAGACUCCUGCGGGAGGCAGCAGUGGGGAAUAGUGCACAAUGGGCGCAAGCCUGAUGCAGCGACGCCGCGUGAGGGAUGGAGGCCUUCGGGUUGUGAACCUCUUUCGCCAGUGAAGCAGGCCUGCUCCUGUGUGGGUGGGUUGACGGUAGCUGGAUAAGAAGCGCCGGCUAACUACGUG
rnacentral:rRNA from 1 species